rnacentral:rRNA from 1 species
GACGAACGCUGGCGGCGUGCUUAACACAUGCAAGUCGAACGGUGAAGCGCCUUCCUUUUUGGUGGGUGUGGAUGAGUGGCGAACGGGUGAGUAACACGUGAGUAACCUGCCCCCUUCUUCUGGAUAACCGCAUGAAAGUGUGGCUAAUACGGGAUAUUCUGGGUCUGUCGCAUGAUGGGUCUGGGAAAGAUAUUGUUUCGGUGGGGGAUGGGCUCGCGGCCUAUCAGCUUGUUGGUGGGGUGAUGGCCACCAAGGCGGUGACGGGUAGCCGGCCUGAGAGGGUGGACGGUCACACUGGGACUGAGACACGGCCCAGACUCCUACGGGAGGCAGCAGUGGGGAAUAUUGCACAAUGGGCGCAAGCCUGAUGCAGCGACGCCGCGUGAGGGAUGGAGGCCUUCGGGUUGUGAACCUCUUUCGCCAGUGAAGCAGGCCUGCCUCGUUUGUGGGUGGGUUGACGGUAGCUGGAUAAGAAGCGCCGGCUAACUACGUG